rnacentral:misc_RNA from 1 species
GAUGAAGAACGUAGCGAAAUGCGAUACGUAAUGUGAAUUGCAGAAUUCAGUGAAUCAUCGAGUCUUUGAACGCACAUUGCGCCCCCUGGUAUUCCGGGGGGCAUGCCUGUCCGAGCGUCAUCGCUGCCCUCAAGCACGGCUUGUGUGUUGGGCCUCCGUCCUCCUCCCGGGGGACGGGCCCGAAAGGCAGCGGCGGCACCGCGUCCGGUCCUCGAGCGUAUGGGGCUUCGUCACCCGCUCUUGUAGGCCCGGCCGGCGCUUGCCGACACAUCAAUCUUUUUUCCAGGUUGACCUCGGAUCAGGUAGGGAUACCCGCUGAACUUAAGCAUAUCAAUAAGCGGAGGA